GGAUUGACCCGACCCGGUCAACCCAGUUGACGCAGCGCAGAGCACCAGUACGGUUCUUUCACUUGCGCGCGCAAACGAUCCCCCAAAAUAAAACGGCUUGAACUCGAUCUUUCCAGCAAAAAUGAAGCCUCCAACGGCAGCUUCUGGGUAACUUCGGACGGCCUGCUGGCGUAACAAACUCAAUUCUUAAAAAAAAAAUGUCGGUCAGAGGAGUUUUUAGUAUAGGGACCUGUGGAUGAACGGGGCGAAUUCAGUGGGGAUUUCUGCGCUUCGAAGCUGUCUCCGCUGCUACGCCACCACAGGUAUGCCGCACUUCCCCCUGCAUACUGCCUCUGUUGUGCUGUUCUAGUUCGGCUGGGUUUGGCGCCGAUCAAACUGAGCUAAUCCAAGUGGUAGCGACGAUCAAUAAAGGUCUAAAUAGCGCAAAUAUAGACCUAGUUGCGAUCGAUUCAGCCCAUCAAUGAACUAUUUGCAGUUGGAAAAGUCGCAAGACAUGUGCUUGGUAAAAUGCCGAAGUGAGCCAGAAUUUCGAGUGAAGAUCGAGAGCUUCCGAUCGUGUUUAUCUAUUUUUUUGCGCUUUGAUUUCCCCUAGAAUAGUUUCUAAAUAUGUUUUUCGCCUUAUUUGUGGUGAAUGAUCGGUGAUAACUCAUGGUUGGCACAAACCAAACCUUGACCGAGCCUCGUUGGCACCUUGGAUCUGGUGGUGAAUGAUCGGUGAUAACUCAUGGUCUAAGGCUUUCAGGUAUGUCAUUUGAACCUUUUCUGUGUUUACCGUAGCCGUGAAACUGAGUUUGAAUGGAAGAAAGUGAAAAUGAGAAUGUUCGCUGGAAUCUGCAUUUUUUCGCCGGACUGUGCGAGGUCUUAGGGAGGCUCCGGCGAAGUUGUUGUGGUGAUAUUUAGACAUAAGAUUGUCAGUUGGUUAGUCUAGGUGAGAUUGUGUGAAAAAAUGGGGAAUUUCGGACUCCGUUUAGCAAUUUCCAGCGAACAUCCCUAUAAAUGAAGGAGGUGGGAGGCGAAGAUGGCGGUGCCUUUGUUGUCGAAAAAGAUUGUCUAGAAGUGGGUCAAGCAGCUCAAGAGGUUCCAGAGCGACCGCAAGACCUCUGUCAAGGUAUACACUUUGUCGUUUUUAUUGGUUUUGAUGUCUAUUGUCUGUUCUUCUUUCCCCUGCAUUCUCUUGUUGUUCACUUGCUCAUUUGUUGAUGCAGCAGAAUCAGUUGUUGCUAUCCAUUUUCUUACAGGUUCCCUGGUGUUCUUUUUCGAAAAUUAAUUUUUUCGAUUUGGUCCGACGAUGUUGGGGACAGAUGAGCAAUUUAACGUUUCUAUUUGUUUGGAUUUUACAGUGUUUGCUCCUCUGUGUCUCCCUCCAAGGAGGUUGUUUCGCAGAGAUAGAUGAUGAUAGUGUUUUGUCGCCCCAGUCUUACUUGCAUCUGCUGAUGCACGGUGUUGAUUGACAUUUUAUCUGUUAUCUAAACAUCUGUUGCUUAAAAUUGUAAAGUUCAGUUUUUUCAUUUGUGCUUUACAUCUUUACAACUUUUAUGCUUGUUUUCUAGUCUUCCUUCUUGAGGUGUUUUUCUUGCUGUUAAGAUUAAUUUUUCUUGAAUCUGAUUUUCUUUUCUAUCUAUUGGAUGUUGGGGGAACAUGAUGAUAGACGUUUCGACACCCAAUCUUACUUGCAUCAGCAGAUGCAUUGGUGGUGAUUUACAUUGUAUUUGAUUCUUGAUUACUCUUUAUCCGUUUUUUCGGGUCACCUGAAAAUUUUUGAGUCAUGCUUUACCUUGUAAGUAGUUUUGGUUGCAAUUCGGGUUUAUAUAGAUAAGAGUUGCAAUUUGUUUUUGUUCUGACUUCUGAGUAAAAUUUUUGCUUUUGAAUCACGGCUCAACUGUAAUCUUGGGUCUAUCAUGAGUUACUUUGUAUUUAUAGGAGAAACAUCAAAGGAUUUGAUGAUAGAUCUUGACACCCAGCCUUGCAUGCUUCACUUGAUGCAUGAUGGUGAUAAGCGAUCGACAAUCUGAACGCCAGCUUAUAGCCGCGAGAAAAUGGUUAAUGGAGUGCUCACUGUAGAAAUAUUAAUCGUUUUCUUGCAUGGGCUAUUCCACACUACAUUAAAUCAGUACACCCAAUUUUGUAGAUUCCUUUGGGGCAUCUGCAUUGACAAUUCAUGUGUAUGCUUUAUCUUUUCUGGACAAGCUUUUUUAAAAGAGUCUGCAACGGGAUAUGAUGAUUUGUACCCAAUAAUUCUGCUGCUAGAUGAUGAAUAUUACCAGGCACUGCCAUCUGAUCCCAUUCAGUGCUGGAACUUGUCUUGGAAGUGUUUUAAUUUUUUUUUUUCACAGACUGUUUUGACGUUCCGGGUCCUUUAUAUUUCUGCAAUGUAUGAUGCAAACUACCC